GGCAACCUCUUCUAGUAUUCUUGCUUCUGUGUUUAUGUCUUAAAUGCAUGAAGCAGUGUUUAGCAAAGUGCUUUUACAUGAAUUGGAAGAGAAUAGACCUUGCCUUGGACUUCAGAAAACCAGUACAGGACCAACAUAUGUGGAGCCAGCAGGAGCUAAAUCAUGCUUACCAUUAUGUUUGAUAUCUCUGUAUGUUAGUUUGCAUUUGGAAAACCUGCUAUUCCCAUUUAUCUUUGUUUUUUCGUCCAGAAGCACUAUUUUAACAAAACUGUGAAUGCUUUGUUUAGGUAUUAACAACAGUUUUUUAAAAAAGGUUGGGGUUUUUUUAAGUUAAUGAUCCCUACUUGAAAGACUAAUACACGAACACUGUUAGUAGUAUGUAAUUAAUAAUGAGCGUUAAUUAUUUCUCACCUGAAGCACUGCACAAAGCAUAUUUUGUAAUUUUAUAUUAUUUCAAAGAUUCUAAGAAAAACUGUAGCAUUUAAAAUUGUUUUAUACCAUUUUGUCCAUCUGAAUGCGAUUCUUGAACUAACAGAUAUUUCAGACACAGUUAUAACAUGCUUUCUGCAUUUUUUGUAAACCAUUCUUCACCUUACUGUCAGUAAACACUUAUUUUGAUUUAUAACUAAUAUUAUUGAGGUGAAAGCUAGUAGUUCUUGUUAGGUACAUCUGCAGGCAGGUUCCUUGUAAGGAGGUGGAAUUUUGGAACUGAAUAUAGGAAAACAUCUUAGAUCAGUUCAGAGUUUCCUCAUCUUUCUGUAACCAUAUUGCGAAGCAUCUUUGCCAGGCAUCUUGAUUCUCAAAUUAGUUGUUGUUGUGGGUUAGUGCUUGCUUAUAUUUUUUUUGCUAUCUCUUGCCUACUCAAGAGCUUGCGUGUGAAGUUCUCUUUCUAUUUGUUUUAGAACUGUGGAACCAUUGGAAUAUUACAGAAGGUUUUUGCACAUUACUCGUUGUUGAUCCAACUGCUGAAGAAGAUGAUUUAGCAACUGGAACAGUAACCAUUGUCUGAUGAAGAAGGCAGACUCUGUUUUGUCCAUAAACCAGGUGGAAGUCCUCUUACAGAAGCCAAGCUUCAGGACUAUAUCACCAGAGCAAUUACAAGACACGAAGAAGUAAAGAAGCUGAUUGACAAAGUAAUAAAAAUUACAGUGCCCAAGUGAACAAAAGGAGAGAUCUUUUCAAAAAUAGAUUUGUAAAAAUUGUAUUUGUUACAGUGUUCACAAACCUUUUAUACUAAAUAAACAAUUACCAAUACUACCUUUACAAA